AACCUGAAGUUAGCCACGUUCGUUUUAACGUUAAUAAAAUGGCGUCUUUUCUAAAUCUGAUAAGAAUUAACAAUUUCGAUAGAAAUUUUUCUAAAGUUCGAGUUUUCAAAUCACAGAACGAUUCGUACUGUGAAAUUAGCAGUUUAACGAACUGAAACCAUGUUUCCUCGUUAUCUAAUUCCGAGUCUCGUCAACAUCUGCACGAACAGUGGCACGUUUCUACGCGAAAGUUGGAUACCUAAACCACAAAUUGCUCGCACGCUAGACAGAAUAGAAUCACGAUAAACGACGAGAGAAGAGAAUUCAAGAGGCAACCGCGAUGAAAUCUUGGUGGAUCCAGGUUGUGGACAACAGGCUCAUUAGUAGCAUCGAUAUGCAGAAUACUGAAAGUUGUAAAAACGCAACGAUAUGCGUGUACAAAAGUACGACGCAAUAUCUGAUCGUAGUCAUAGAACCAUACGUUCGCCACCCAAUUAAAAUUAUUCACCUGGGACCAAUUACCGCACCCACGAGGCAUCCAGACGUCAAGGCCGAGGAUACGAUAUAAACCAGUCCUUGUGUUUCAAGUGAAACCGGUUACGCGCCAUGGUGUUUCACGCCCGAACAGAAACAUCACGAGGAUUUCGCGGCCGCAAUUAGACCUUUGAAAACUGCGUUCCAAUUAACGCCCUCGUAGAUCCCCGUGUGGAUUACUGUCAUGUUUUAUGCAAUCGUCUCGGCGCAAGUGCACCUCGCUCGCAUCUGCGACCGGUUGCAAAGUAAUUGUGAGUUGAAGGAGAGGUUUAUUCGCUGGUUUGCCGAAAUUUAUUGGUGUUAACGUAGACGUAAAAUUAUGAUGGAAAUUGAAUGGAUAUUCCUGAAACUUAUAGGAGAAUAUUUUAGAGGAUAAAACUUUCAUCUGUAAGCGAGGUAAAUGCAUUAGCUUGCUCUCUAAUUGUAAGUAAAUACCAGAUAGGUUAUCCUUUAAUUCUAUCGAGAAACAGAUUUUGUAAUUAUCAUUUGAACAUAUCGUAUUAGCUGACUAAAAAAUACGUCCCCUCGAUUCGUUCCAUUUUCACAAAAGGUAGCCAAAAGGGUGAAAAUAUUUCAAUUCCCAGGAAAUAUCUAAAAAAAAAGCAUUACAAAUUAAUAAGAUAUCUUUCAUAAAAAAUUCAAAUUUCAUUAUUCGAGAGAGAAGAAAAGAAUAUACCGUUAAACGAAACAAACAUUCUUUUUUCCACCCUUCUGGCAUAAUUCACCGCACGAUAAAUCCCCCUUCAACCAGCCGGGAGAGGGAAUGCCGGAAAUAAUUCGCGAAGGAAGCUGCGUGGCGGAAUUUACGGGCGACGAGCUUUUUAGCAAUUUAUAUCCGGCAGGGGCAAGAUUGUUGUUCGCCGGCCAUUAAAACGGCACGACAUCUCGCAUUGUUCUCGGCCAAUAGCACCGGCCAGCCAUUUUUCACCAGAAUAUUAUGUCCUCCGACCGAUAGCAGAAUACGUCCUCUAUAACUCUCUCUCUCUCUCUCUCUCUCUCUCUCUCUCUCUCUCUCUCUCUCUCUCUCUCUCUCUCUCUCUUUCUCCCUUUCUUCCCUUUUCUCUCUGUCCGCCACGAUUCGAUUCAACGAUUCGAAUGACUCGCGCCAGUUCCCGGGCAACGUUCCAAACCAGUGAAUGACGCCCACUCAAAGAACUUACGCAACGACGCGCGUCGAUGCAGCAGAAAAACACGUUCAUUCACGUUUCGACACAACAGUCGUUGCACUGAUUGAAGAUAUCGUCGUUUUUCUUCUCCUUUUUUUUUUUGUUUGUUAUUCGUUUGUAUCGAAAAUCAUGAGUCAAUGUGUAUUAUGCGCUUCAAUAAUCUUCCUCAAACAAGAUUGGGAUGAAUCGAUGGUUUUUAGAUUAUAGAUUUUAUAGUUUCAUUUUCUAUGAGUUGAUUUUUCUUGGAAAACGAUAAAGUAAGAUAAUAAUAUGGUAGCAUAGUAAUUGUUGAAUAAUUGUGCUGUAACUGGGUAAAUGAUGGUUGAUUGAAAAGUCAUAGUAAAUUAUUUAUUAGGAUUUUUUAAUUGAAUUGAAUAUUUUAUGCAUUCUAUAGAUUCAUUUUUUUAAUAAACUUCAUCAGUUUUUAUUUAAAUCUUUUUAGAUGAUCUCACUUCAGGAACUAUUUAAAUAUAAUGAUAUAGAUCAGAAAUGAUUAUCAUUUUUAUAUUUGUUUUAAAAAUUUUCUCAAAAUAGUAUAUCAAUAUCAUCAAACCAUCAUGUACAACAGAAUUAAUCCAUCCAUUCAAGAUAGAUUUCAAUUGUUUCCUACAACAAAUAAUAAUAUGAUAAUAUGAUAGCAUAGUAAUUGUUGAAUAAUUGUGUUGUAACUAAAUGAUGGUUGAUUGAAAAGUCAUAGUAAAUCAUUUGUUAGGAUUUUUAAUUGAAUUGAAUACUUUAUGCAUUCUAUGGAUUCAUUUUUUUAAUAAACCUCAUCAACCAGAUCAGAAAUAAUUAUUAUUUUUAUAUUUGUUUCAAAAAUUUUCUCAAAAUAUAUCAAUAUUAUAUAUUAUCAAACCAUCAUGUACAACAGAAUUAAUCCAUCCACUCAAGAUAGAUUCCAAUUGUUUCCUACAACAAAUAAUAAUAUGAUAUUAAUAUGAUAGCAUAGUAAUUGUUGAAUAAUUGUGUUGUAACUAAAUGAUGGUUGAUUGAAAAGUCAUAAUUAUUUGUUAGGAUUUUUAAUUGAAUUGAAUAUUUUAUGCAUUCUAUGGAUUCAUUUUUUUAAUAAAUCUCAUCAACCAGAUCAGAAAUAAUUAUUAUUUUUAUAUUUGUUUUAAAAAUUUUCUCAAAAUAUAUCAAUAUUAUAUAUCAUCAAACCAUCAUGUACAACAGAAUUAAUCCAUCCACUCAAGAUAGAUUCCAAUUGCUUCCUAUAACAAAUCUUUUAAAAGGGAGACGUUUUUUAAUGCCGUAACACGGUGAAAUCACGGUAACCAAAGAGCUCACGUAUCACGAGAUCCGCUAUCCGAUUCGCAGGACGAUACCAUCCGAUAAAUCAGGCGAGAAAGUAGCGAGCAUCGCGACUAAUUCAUACAAUUUCAGACAGUUGGUAGAUUUAUCGGCAGCCUCGGCGCGUGCUCGCAUGUAAAUAGCGGGAGAGAGAGAGGUUGCUGUGAAAUAAUUUAUCGCGUCGUCCACGACAGCCGGGAACAACGAGCGCGUGAUGGUUCGCCUGUUCUCUCUAUAAAUUCUCGGAUGGGGGAGAAGUAUCGGCUCGAUUACCCAGUGGCUCGUUCCGGUUUCGUAGCACGUGGAAAAGAUUUCAGUCGGUGUUCUCGAAAAUGAUAUCUUAUUUGUUUAAUUACUUAAAUUUUAGGUGUAGGAAUUUUAGGUGUACGUGAUUGUUGGUGUUAGUGGGUUGGAAAAUAAAAUAUGCGAUUUUUUUUUGUAUUAUUUUUAUUCUAA